rnacentral:rRNA from 1 species
CCUACGGGAGGCAGCAGUGAGGAAUAUUGGUCAAUGGGCGCGAGCCUGAACCAGCCAAGUCGCGUGAGGGAAGACGGUCCUAUGGAUUGUAAACCUCUUUUGUCGGGGAGCAAAAGACGCCACGCGUGGCGUUCCGAGAGUACCCGAAGAAAAAGCAUCGGCUAACUCCGUGCCAGCAGCCGCGGUAAUAUGGAGGAUGCGAGCGUUAUCCGGAUUUAUUGGGUUUAAAGGGUGCGCAGGCGGAAGAUCAAGUCAGCGGGAAAAUUGAGAGGCUCAACCUCUUCGAGCCGUUGAAACUGGUUUUCUUGAGUGAGUGAGAGGUAGGCGGAAUGCGUGGUGUAGCGGUGAAAUGCAUAGAUAUCACGCAGAACUCCGAUUGCGAAGGCAGCAUACCGGCGCUCAACUGACGCUGAUGCACGAAAGUGUGGGUAUCGAACAGGAUUAGAUACCCCAGUAGUC